UUAAGUUCAGCGGGUAUUCCUACCUGAUCCGAGGUCAACCACUAAAAAGUUGGGGGUUUUACGGCAGGGGCCGCGGCGCCCUCAGAAGCUAGAAGAGUUACUAAGCUCAGAGGACUCCACGUCUCCGCCGUUGUCUUUAAGGAGCUACAGGGCGGCUACAGGGUAGCCGCCGCACGUAGGUUCCCAAUACUAAGCUAGGC
rnacentral:misc_RNA from 1 species